rnacentral:lncRNA from 1 species
CGGGGUCUCAGCAGCAACUCUACCUGCCAUAGGAAAGGUGUGGGAGUUGUCAGUCUGGAUACAGUUGGCAGGGAAGAGAGGACAAAAGGAACAAAACUAAGAUUCACCAAAUGACUAUGACAUCCCAAGUACUGAAAGAACUACAACUCCUACUAUUCUCAAGAUUAUCCAUAGAACCUCAGAAUUGGACAGGACCAGAAAGUUCAUCCAUUCCCAAACGUCACACACCAAGACACCCCCUAGAGUCACCCCUGAUUCUCCCUGAAGAGACCAUGGCAGCACCCCUACCAACUCACCCCACUUUGGCAGAAUUCUCCUAG